GACGAACCGUGCGAACGUUGUUCGGAAUCACUGGGCUUAAAGGGCGCGUAGGCGGCUUGUCAAGUCAGGGGUGAAAUCUUUCGGCUCAACCGGAAAAGUGCCUUUGAUACUGAUAAGCUAGAGGGAGGUAGGGGCAUGUGGAACUUCCGGUGGAGCGGUGAAAUGCGUUGAUAUCGGAAGGAACGCCGGUGGCGAAAGCGACGUGCUGGCCCUCUUCUGACGCUGAGGCGCGAAAGCUAGUGGAGCGAACGGG
rnacentral:rRNA from 1 species